AGUCGGGAAUUUUGGGCAAUGGGGGAAACCCUGACCCAGCAACGCCGCGUGAAGGAUGAAGUAUUUCGGUAUGUAAACUUCGAAAGAAUAGGAAGAAUUAAUGACGGUACUAUUUAUAAGGUCCGGCUAACUACGUGCCAGCAGCCGCGGUAAUACGUAGGGACCAAGCGUUGUUCGGAUUUACUGGGCGUAAAGGGCGCGUAGGCGGCGCGGUAAGUCACUUGUGAAAUCUCUGAGCUUAACUCAGAACGGCCAAGUGAUACUGCAGUGCUAGAGUGUGGAAGGGGCAAUCGGAAUUCUUGGUGUAGCGGUGAAAUGCGUAGAUAUCAAGAGGAACACCUGAGGUGAAGACGGGUUGCUGGGCCAACACUGACGCUGAGGCGCGAAAGCCAGGGGAGCAAA
rnacentral:rRNA from 1 species